rnacentral:rRNA from 1 species
UAGCAGAGGGUGCGAGCGUUAAUCGGAAUUACUGGGCGUAAAAGCGCGCGUAGGUGGUUUGUUAAGUCGUGUUAGUCGAAAGCCCCGGGCUCAACCUGGGAACUCGACAUUUGUGACUGGCGAGCUAGAGUAUGGCAGAGGGGGGUAGAAGUUCCAACGUGUAGCAGUGAAAUGCGUAGAGAUGUGGAGGAAUACCGAUG